UGGGGAAUUUUGCACAAUGGGGGAAACCCUGAUGCAGCGACGCCGCGUGAUUUAGAAGGCCUUCGGGUUGUAAAAAUCUUUUUUAUGGGAUGAAAAUGACAGUACCAUAAGAAUAAGGUCCGGCUAACUACGUGCCAGCAGCCGCGGUAAUACGUAGGUGGCAAGCGUUGUCCGGAUUUAUUGGGCGUAAAGCGAGCGCAGGCGGUCAAUUAAGUCUGAUGUGAAAGCCCCCGGCUCAACCGGGGAGGGUCAUUGGAAACUGGUUGACUUGAGUGCAGAAGAGGAGAGUGGAAUUCCAUGUGUAGCGGUGAAAUGCGUAGAUAUAUGGAGGAACACCAGUGGCGAAGGCGACUCUCUGGUCUGUAACUGACGCUGAGGCUCGAAAGCGUGGGUAGCAAACAGG
rnacentral:rRNA from 1 species